rnacentral:rRNA from 1 species
UACGGGGGGGGCAAGCGUUGUUCGGAAUUACUGGGCGUAAAGAGCUCGUAGGCGGCUUGUUGCGUCGACUGUGAAAACCCGCGGCUUAACUGCGGGCUUGCAGUUGAUACGGGCAGGCUAGAGUUCGGUAGGGGAGACUGGAAUUCCUGGUGUAGCGGUGAAAUGCGCAGAUAUCAGGAGGAACACCGGUGGCGAAGGCGGGUCUCUGGGCCGUAACUGACGCUGAGGAGCGAAAGCAUGGGGAGCGAACAGG